rnacentral:tRNA from 1 species
GGCACUAUGGCCGAGUGGUUAAGGCGACAGACUUGAAAUCUGUUGGGCUUUGCCCGCGCUGGUUCAAAUCCUGCUGGUGUCG